CCAAGCGCUCACCAUUCUGCAGAAUAAGGAUCAGAACUUUACAGAGGUAAACUGUGUCUGUUCCUUUUACUAUUACAGGCGCAGCAGCACACUGCCCUCCAAAGCCUGCAAAAAAAUUGCCUGACUGCCCCUUUCCUAGCUCUGCAUGGAACAUCCAGUGUCACGUCCUUGGUGACGUGUUGGGUGACAUCCGGGAAGACCACAGCAACCUCCUCUGGAAAGGGAAAAAAGAGGAACAGAAUGUAAACAUGCAAAUCGUAGCUUCUAAACACUGGCCAGUUGAAAGGUUCUACUAAGAUGUCAUGACAAACGGCACUUGUCAGAGUGCUCUCUAAGUGUUACCUACCUGCUUGGAUGUCAGCUGGCAGAGUGGCGAAGACAGCCAUCGUGAGAGUCCUUUCUUCAGGUGUGACGUCCAAAACCUCCAAGAUGGAAGAGAUGGGCUCUGCCUCUGUGUAGGUGGUGAUGUCUUUAACCACCAGGUGUGAAGAUGCCGGGUCUGCCUCUGUGUUAGGGGUGAUGUCUUUAACCUCCAGGCUGGAAGAUGCAGGGUCUGCCUCUAUGUUAGGGGUGGUGUCCACAACCUCCAGGUGGGAAGAAGCCUGGUCUUCCUCUGUAUUAAGGGUGAUGUCCACAACCUCCAGGUGGGAAGAAGCCUGGUCUGCCUCUGUGUUAGGGGUGAUGUCUUUGACCUCCAGGCUGGAAGAUGCAGGGUCUGCCUCUAUGUUAGGGGUGGUGUCCACAACCUCCAGGUGGGAAGAAGCCUGGUCUUCCUCUGUAUUAAGGGUGAUGUCCACAACCUCCAGGUGGAAAGAAGCCUGCUCUACCUCUAUGUUAGGGGUGAUGUCCACAACCUCCAAGUGGGAGGAAGCCGGGUCUGCGUCUGUUAUGGGUGACAACAACAAUCCUUAUGAGCUCUACUACUACAAGGCACCAAGAUGUCAUCACAACAGGCAUCUGUCAGAAUGCUCUCUAUCAUUGCUACUCACCUGCUUGGAUGUCAGCUGGUAGUGUGGUGGAGACGGCCACCGCGAGGACAGGGGGGACUGGUAGGGUGGCUGCAGGGGGCUGGAAGCAGCUCUGCACCUCGUCCGCCACAAAGGCACAGACAGAGCUCAUAUAAAAAGGGCUCUGGAGGUCAUCCGUGGAGAAGGACUGACUGAUUCUCCCGAGGAUCGACCGCACAGAGUCAAAAGCAGCAGCCCGGGAGAAAGGGAUGUGAGGGGAAGGGUCCUUUAACAUGCAGGAGAUCUUCUCCACUACAGCCGCCACCAUGCCCACGGCCAUCCCGCUUAUAAGGAUUGGGUGCUCUGAAUGGCCUUCCUCUGGCUGAAGCCACAGGGCCAGGAGGAGCCUGGGCACCACCUCCACCACCACCUGAGAUGGGCUGAGGAGGUUGCUAUGGGGCUCAUUGGACUGCUCGCCCAGAAUGCUCACAGCUCUCUCCACGAUGCUGUGGACCUUUGGAUCGCUGAAUCAACAAAACGGAGAAGACAAAGCUAAACGAUGUGCAAUGUUCUCACAUAGAACACUGUCUUAGUCUGUUUCUGGGUAGUUCCAGAUGUGUAUAUAAAUGGAUCAAGUCAUAUGCAGGGCAGUACAUGGAACUCACAUGUCAGCUGGCGAGGUGGAGUACAUGGAGCGACGGAGCUUGCAGAAAGCCUCGUGCUCUAUGUUCAUCAUUUUUAGGCAAGUGUUUACUUCCCAGGCCUGCAGUAUGAAACAGGAAGUCCCAUUAGUGUAAUUUCACAACAGAUCUAUCCUGCUGUGCUAACUAGUUGUUGAAAGGCUAGUAAAGAGCUCACUAACUUGUAGUAUAUCUCUAACUCUCAUUCUCUUACCAGCCGAGCGAGGUCAUUUCCCUCCUCCAGGGUUUCCUUCCACACCCUUCAAAUAAAAUACAGAGCAAUUCAACUUUCCUGACUUCUGAUUUUUCUGUUGUUUAUUUUACCCACACCUCCUGGAGUGCUGCUGGUGGCAGGGAAUGGCAGUGAAGGUGAGUGCUGACGUGAUACUCACCUCUCCCUAAGGGAUUUUUUGCCCUGAGACACCAGCCAGUUGCUCAUGUGCUCCGUGGUGACAUGGGGCGGGACCUGGCCUUGACUCUGGAGCAGCAGAUAGUGGACCAUGAGCUUCUUCUGCAAGAUGAGCAGGCCUGCAGAGUCUGAAAAUAAAGGCUGCUUCUACAGAAUUCCUUUGAAGAUAAUGAAAAUAAUGAUGCUUUGUUAUGCACAUUAUGCACAGGCAUUUACAGUAUGCUAAAAUGCAUUUCUCCUAAGAUUACCUUUGUGGGACCAUAAGUGAACUCCGGAAUGCACAAAACCCUAUCCAUGGUAAGAUGGGGAAGAAAUGCAGCGCUAUAGAUAUACGGGAUGCUCUAGAGAUAACAGAAAUGACUUAAAGUCGCGAAUGAUCAAUGACUGUGGAGUCGUCCAAUAUGCUGCACUUAGAUUUGAGUUGUAGGUGAUGUUUGGCGCAAAUAGAAUGUUUACAUUCUAUUGCCAUGGAGAAAUGGAAUGUGUAGAACCUGUAUAAAUGGGUAUGCUUCUAUGUCUUAAUUUCGUGAAAGAUUAAGUUCUUUGUUAUGUCAUAAUGUGUUUGAGGACGUAGGAGCCCGUUCCUGAUUCAUGACGCGGUUAUCCAGGUGCAUGUUGCUUAGACCUACUAAUCCAAUCUUGGUUUACAAGUUAAAUACAUUGUUUAUAUAUGCCUAUACAAAUCUAUCGACCACUUCCAUUUAAAGCAAUGAUUGUCAAUUGAAAAUGUGGUUGUUGUGUUAUCCUGUGGUGCGCCUUGAGUGUCAGUCCCCUUAAGCACAUUAUUCCAAUAUUUCCGAGCUCUGAAUUGAUACAAUGAACAUUUUGCAAAGAUGAUCGGUUCAAAAUAAGAGUAUGAAUGACAAUACACGUAUGACUUGGAUUGUAUGCAUAAUAGUGUAGUAACCAAUAUUGCUCGGCGUGGGAACUUUUGGUGUUAGGAAAGUAUCCGUUAUAAGUCGUAUCAAAUUUAUUUGUAUAGCCCUUCGUACAUCAGCUGAUAUCUCAAAGUGCUGUACAGAAACCCAGCCUAAAACCCCAAACAGCAAGCAAUGCAGGUGUAGAAGCACGGUGGCUAGGAAAAACUCCCUAGAAUGGCCAAAACCUAGGAAGAAACCUAGAGGAACCAGGCUAUGAGGGGUGGCCAGUCCUCUUCUGGCUGUGACGGGUGGAGAUUAUAACAGAACAUGGCCAAGAUGUUCAAAUGUUCAUAAAUGUCCAGCAUGGUCAAAUAAUAAUAAUCACAGUAAUUGUCGAGGGUGCAGCACCUCAGGAGUAAAUGUCAGUUGGCUUUUCAUAGCCGAUCAUUAAGAGUAUCUCUACCGCUCCUGCGGUCUCUAGAGAGUUGAAAACAGCAGGUCUGGGACAGGUAGCACAUCCGGUGAACAGGUCAGGGUUCCAUAGCCGCAGGCAGAACAGUUGGCCAGGUGGACUGAGGACAGCAAGGAGUCAUCAUGUCAGGUCGUCCUCAGGCAUAGUCCUAGGGCUCAGGUCUUCCGAGAGAGAAAGAAAGAGAGAAUUAGAGAGAGCAUGCUUAAAUUCACACAGGACACCGGAUAAGACAGGACAAGUACUCCAGAUGUAACAAACUGACCCUAGCCCCCCGACACAUAAACUAAUGCAGCAUAAAUACUGGAGGCUGAGACAGAAGGGGUCAGGAGACACUGUGGCCCCAUCCAAUGAUACCUACUACAACCGCUGUGCUGUAUACAAGCCUGUGAAUAGAAUGUGUCUGACUAUAUGGUGGAAAGACUAGUGUAUGUAUUUCAUUUUGACUUUUGCGUGGCUAAGGCUAUGUUUUUUAUUUAAGUAGUAUGUGUUCAGGAAGUGGAAAUUAGUCUAAGCUAUAAGAAGUUUGUUAAUGGAUAUUUAUAUUUUGUGUUUUAAGUUAUCAUUUCAGUUUUACUUGGUGUUAUCACUGUUACACACAGUGUAACCAUCCGAAGAAUAAAAUCAAUGUGUGGAUGUUGA